rnacentral:rRNA from 1 species
UACGUAGGGGGCAAGCGUUGUCCGGAUUUAUUGGGCGUAAAGAGCGUGUAGGCGGUUCGGUAGGUCCGUUGUGAAAACUCGAGGCUCAACCUCGAGACGCCGAUGGAAACCCUCGAACUAGAGUCCGGAAGAGGAGAGUGGAAUUCCUGGUGUAGCGGUGAAAUGCGCAGAUAUCAGGAAGAACACCCGUGGCUAAGGCGGCUCUCUAGUACGGUACUGACGCUGAGACGCGAAAGCGUGGGGAGCGAACCGG